UUUGAUCCUGGGGCUGUGAGUCCCAAGCGGCCAGGCACCAGGCAUCCACUGAAGCAGGCUGUGUCCACAGCACCCAAACAGGCUGGUCCUGGGACUCAUUGGCUUGGAAGAUCAGAACUGAAAAGACCUUGGAAAUCACCUCAUUUUACAGAGAAGGAAACUGAGAUAACCAGAUUCUGGGAGUGGAGCAGGACUUCAGAGGGCAGUGGCUCCCAGGACAUCCCUCAGCCCAGGACUCUUGUCCCCAUAAAGCACUGUACAAUCCCUGACUCCAUCUCCCACACUUUCAACACUGUGCCUUCCAGGAAUCACCAUCCAGCAUUCCCCAAAUCCCAGAUGUUCUUCUCUGAGCAGUCCCUUUGUCUCCUUGUUCUGAUGGAAACCUGCUCUCUCCCGAGAUCACCGGUUCCCUAAAACUCCCUCAUAUGGUGAAUCUUUUCUACUCAAUGGGAUCGUCCUGCUAAACCUAGAGGAGAGGUGGGGGUCUUCUUUUCUUCACUCCGCUACUGCUUCUCCCUAAAACACCUAGAAGUUAAUCUUGUGUCAUUAGAGAGACUUUCUGAGAUGCCCCUAACAGUCAUUUACAGAUGCCCUGAGCUUUCCCCUUUCAUUCCUUGAUGUUUAGUGCCU
rnacentral:lncRNA from 1 species